rnacentral:rRNA from 1 species
AUGAAUUGCAUCGUGUGGAACUGUCGAGGUGUGGGGAAUGCUUCGACGGUUCGGGAUCUCGUGGCUCUCUCUCUCGCCCAUUCCCCAAGUAUGAUAUUCUUAUGUGAAACUAGACAACAGAAAGAUAAGAUGUAUCAUCUUCGUAAUAGACUCGGUCUUCGUGGCUUUGAAGGAAUAAGCAGUGAGGGUAAUAGCGGUGGUCUAGCCUUAUUUUGGGAUGAAUCUUUGCACGUCGAUAUUCGUGACUGCAAUAAAAGGUGGAUUGAUGCGAAUAUUCGGUUGCCCGCUGAUGAUCAAGUUUGGAGAGUUACUUUUGUCUAUGGUGAACCGCGAGUGGAAAAUAGACACUUAAUGUGGGAGGGAUUGAAAAGACUAAAAGCCCAGGAUGAUUUGCCUUGGCUCUUGGCAGGAGAUUUUAAUGAAGUUAUGUGGGACUACGAACAUCUGCCAGAGACACCGAGAUCGCUUGGACAGAUGAUUGCUUUUAGGGAUGUGCUUGAAGCUUGCAACUUAGCUGAUUUGGGGUUCUCUGGCUACCCCUUCACUUAUGAUAAUAAGCGCAGCGGAAGAGCGAAUGUACAAGUCAGACUUGAUAGAGUGGUUGCGGAUAACAGGUGGAGGUAUAAGUUCCCUGAAGCAUCAGUAAAACACUUGGUGUCUUCCUGUUCGGACCAUCUUCCCCUACUGAUGCGAUGCAUCCCUGAGUCCGGAGGUAGGGAGAGAUGUGUUCGUCGCUACGAGGUUAUGUGGGGAGAGAGGCCGCCCUAG